rnacentral:lncRNA from 1 species
UUAAGAACUGGUGGUCUUUCCAAACACAGGAAUACUCCAUGAGCCACCAACUACAUUCUUACAUACACAGCCAACAGAAACCCAUACCUAGUAUGUAAAAAGUUAAAAAAUAUUCAAGGUUGGUGAUCCUGCCAAGUCUAAUCCAAUGUUCCCAACUCCAACCUUCACAUGUUCAUUCUGCUCCUUGUGUAUGGCCCACAACAUUUUACAUGCCCAGUCAGAAAAGAAGACAAUUCUCUGCAUGGUAUCUUCUUAUGUCAUAGAAACAUAAUUGGCAAAUGGGACCAUAUACCAUUUCAAUUGAUCUACAGCUAUAAACUCAUUCUACUAUUUAAGAUCCUCCAAACAAAACAACCUGUGAAAGAGAGACUACAGAGAAGAACAUCCAUGGCUAUUCGUCAGGUUUAUAGAAAAACAUCCCUGAAAAACAGGACAUGUUUAGUUAUUUAAGGAGAAAUGUAAAUGGAAAAAUACCCAAGGAAGCAGAGUAAUUAAAUGAUUUUCAAUGAUUUAAGUCUCAUUCAUUAUGUACUUUGCAUAAUCAUUUAAGAAAAAAAAUC